GGAUCGCUAGCUCAGUUGGUAGAGCAGCUGACUCUUAAUCAGCGGGUCGGAGGUUCGAUCCCUCCGCGAUCCACCA
rnacentral:tRNA from 1 species